AGUGAACGCUGGCGGUAGGCCUAACACAUGCAAGUCGAACGGCAGCACAGUAAGAGCUUGCUCUUACGGGUGGCGAGUGGCGGACGGGUGAGGAAUACAUCGGAAUCUACUUUUUCGUGGGGGAUAACGUAGGGAAACUUACGCUAAUACCGCAUACGACCUACGGGUGAAAGCAGGGGAUCUUCGGACCUUGCGCGAUUGAAUGAGCCGAUGUCGGAUUAGCUAGUUGGCGGGGUAAAGGCCCACCAAGGCGACGAUCCGUAGCUGGUCUGAGAGGAUGAUCAGCCACACUGGAACUGAGACACGGUCCAGACUCCUACGGGAGGCAGCAGUGGGGAAUAUUGGGCAAUGGGCGCAAGCCUGAUCCAGCCAUACCGCGUGGGUGAAGAAGGCCUUCGGGUUGUAAAGCCCUGUUGUUGGGAAAGAAAAGCAGCAGGUUAAUACCCCGCUGUUCUGACGGUACCCAAAGAAUAAGCACCGGCUAACUUCGUG
rnacentral:rRNA from 1 species